rnacentral:lncRNA from 1 species
CCCAGGUAAUGUUGGUGCUGCUGGUUUGAGGACCACACUUUGAGUAGCAAGGCUUAGAGCACCCACUUUGGCAUUGACCAGGCUAUUUUGAGUCCUGACUGCACCACUUCAAUAGCUGUGUGACCUUAGGCUUGCAAUGAUGGAUGACCAGCAGGACUUCAGCUGAAAUUUGGUUUAUUUCUCAAUUUGCAGGAAUUUACUAGGGGCUGGCCCCGUGGCCGAGUGGUUAAGUUCUCGCGCUCCGCUGCAGGCGGCCCGGUGUUUCGUCGGUUCGAAUCCUGGGCGCGGACAUGGCACUGCUCGUCAGACCACGCUGAGGCAGUGUCCCACAUGCCACAACUAGAG